GUGCUCACUUGGGCAGCACAUUUACUGAAAUUGGAACAAUACAGAGAAAAUUAGCAUGGCUCCUGCACAAGGAUGACAUGGAAAUUCAUGAAGCAUUCCAUCUUUUU
rnacentral:snRNA from 1 species